rnacentral:lncRNA from 1 species
GCUGAAAGUCCGUAUUGCCCAGCGACAGCCCCGAAACCUGAAGGAUCUGGAGAAGGUCUGUAUGGAGGAGUGGGCCAAAAUCCCUGCUGCAGUGUGUGCAAACCUGGUCAAGAACUACAGGAAAUGUAUGAUCUCUGUAAUUGCAAACAAAGGUUUCUGUACCAAAUAUUAAGUUCUACUUUUCUGAUGUAUCAAAUACUUAUGUCAUGCAAUAAAAUUCUAGUGAAUUACUUAAAAAUCAUAAGAUGUGAUUUUCUGGAUUUUUGAUUCAGUAUCUCACAGUUGAAGUGUACCUAUGAUAAAAAUUACAGACCUCUACAUAAUUUGUAAGUAGGAAAACCUGCUAAAUCGGCAGUGUAUCAAAUACUUGUUCUCCCCACUGUAUAUAUAUAUGCACAUUUUGAAUAUUCCUUAUUUGUUAAGUAAAUAACGGAACCAAGAAAAGAUGGAACCAACAAAGGUGAUAUGAGAACACUCAGAGCAGGUGAGGGAACACUCAGAGCAGGUGAGGGUACACUCAGAGCAGGUGAGGGUACACUCAGAGAAGGUUAUAUGAGAACACUGAGAGCAGGUGAGGGAACAGUCGGAGCAGGUGAUAUGAGAACACUCAGAGCAGGUGAUAUGAGAACACUCAGAGCAGGUGAGGGAACACUCACAGCAGGUGAUAUGAGAACACUCAGAGAAGGUGAGGGAACACUCACAGCAGGUGAUAUGAGAACACUCAGAGAAGGUGAGGGAACACUCGGAGCAGGGGAUAUGAGAACACUCAGAGAAGGUGAUAUGAGGUCUCUCAGAGAAGGUGGGGGAACACUCCGAGAAGGUGAUAUGAGAACACUCAGAGCAUGUGAUAUGAGAACACUGAGAGCAGG